rnacentral:pre_miRNA from 1 species
CGGCUCAUCACCGGGCAUCUUGCGUGACGUUUGACUCUGCAAGCUGCCUAGUGAAGGGCAACA